AAUGAACGUUGGCGGCAUGGAUUAGGCAUGCAAGUCGGGGGAAUCCCAGCAAUGGGGGAACCGGCGUAAGGGGCAGUAAGGCAUGGGUACCUACCUUGGGGUUCGGGAUAGCCAUCAGAGAUGGUGGGUAAUACCGGAUGACGUCGUGAGACCAAAGAUUUAUCGCCCCUAGAGGGGCCCAGGUGAUAUUAGCUAGUUGGUGGGGUAACGGCCCACCAAGGCGAAGAUGUCUAGCGGGUGUGAGAGCACGACCCGCGCCACUCGCACUGAGACACUGGCGGAACACCUACGGGUGGCUGCAGUCGAGGAUCUUCGGCAAUGAGCGCAAGCUUGACCGAGCGAUGCCGCGUGAGCGAUGAAGGCCUUCGGGUUGUAAAGCUCUUUAGUGGGGGAGAAAAGCCGCAAGGUGUGAUCUAUCCCAAAAAUAAGCACGGGCUAAGUUCGUGCCAGCAGCCGCCGUAA
rnacentral:rRNA from 1 species